UACGGGACCAAAGGAGGCCUCUGUUUACAAGCUUCCGCAAGGGGAUGGGCUCGCGUCCCAUUAGCUAGUUGGUAGGGUAAUGGCCUACCAAGGCGACGAUGGGUAGCCGGCCUGAGAGGGUGUCCGGCCACACUGGAACUGAAACACGGUCCAGACUCCUACGGGAGGCAGCAGUGAGG
rnacentral:rRNA from 1 species